GGUCUCGCUGUGUAGUCCAGGUUGGCCUUGAACUCACUAUGUAGCCCAGGCUGGCCUUAAACUCAUGGUGAUUCUCCUGCCUCAGCCUCCCAAGUGCUGGGAUUAUAGGCGUGCGCCACCACGCCCG
rnacentral:miRNA from 1 species